GCGUUUUCUAAGACAACGUGAUGACAAUGAGUCAUGUGAAACAUAUUGGCGAUGUCUCGGAGAAGUUUCGACGCUAGGAAGACACAGCGUCCGGAGAAGAACCGGACGAUGAAACGCCAAACGGACUGCACAGAAUGCUUCUUCCGAUUUUAAGAGGAGCUAGAGGAACCUGAGAAACAUGGUUAAGACGAGUAUAAAGAUUAGGAUCGUUUGGUGAAGAGGAAAAUGGUACAUGCCGCGAUCUACAUGGACGGAGGUGUCAUCUUCUCUGAGAAAAUACAGGUGUGAGGUGGUCAACAAAACGCCAUGUUCCCUGUUGUCCGUGAGUGCAUCGCAAAUUCAACAAAAGCACAUGCCUUGUCUGAACGCAGUUACUUCACAGCUGCCUC